rnacentral:rRNA from 1 species
AACGAACGCUGGCGGCAGGCUUAACACAUGCAAGUCGAGCGGGCCCUUCGGGGUCAGCGGCGGACGGGUUAGUAACGCGUGGGAACGUGCCCUUUGCUUCGGAAUAGCCCUGGGAAACUGGGGGUAAUACCGGAUGUGUCCGGCGGGGGAAAGAUUUAUCGGCGAGGGAUCGGCCCGCGGCUACUUAGGUAGUUGGUGAGGUAACGGCUCACCAAGCCGACGAUCGGUAGCUGGUUUGAGAGGAUGAUCAGCAACACUGGGACUGAGACACGGCCCAGACUCCUACGGGAGGCAGCAGUGGGGAAUCUUAGACAAUGGGCGCAAGCCUGAUCUAGCCAUGCCGCGUGGGUGAUGAAGGCCUUAGGGUCGUAAAGCCCUUUCGCCGGGGAAGAUAAUGACGGUACCCGGUAAAGAAACCCCGGCUAACUCCGUGCCAGCCGCCGCAGUAAGAC